GCCCGGAUGGUCUAGUGGUAUGAUUCUCGCUUUGGGUGCGAGAGGUCGCGCGUUCGACUCGCGCUUCGGGCC
rfam:Aspergillus fumigatus Af293 chromosome 1, whole genome shotgun sequence.